rnacentral:rRNA from 1 species
AUUGAACGCUGGCGGCAUGCCUUACACAUGCAAGUCGAACGGCAGCAUGAUCUAGCUUGCUGGAUUGAUGGCGAGUGGCGAACGGGUGAGUAAUACAUCGGAACGUGCCCUGUAGUGGGGGAUAACUAGUCGAAAGAUUAGCUAAUACCGCAUACGACCUGAGGGUGAAAGUGGGGGACCGCAAGGCCUCAUGCUAUAGGAGCGGCCGAUGUCUGAUUAGCUGGUUGGUGAGGUAAAGGCUCACCAAGGCGACGAUCAGUAGCUGGUCUGAGAGGACGAUCAGCCACACUGGGACUGAGACACGGCCCAGACUCCUACGGGAGGCAGCAGUGGGGAAUUUUGGACGAUGGGCGAAAGCCUGAUCCAGCAAUGCCGCGUGUGUGAAGAAGGCCUUCGGGUUGUAAAGCACUUUUGUCCGGAAAGAAAUGGCGCUGGUUAAUACCUGGGGUCGAUGACGGUACCGGAAGAAUAAGGACCGGCUAACUACGUG